rnacentral:rRNA from 1 species
GMCGMMCAAAUUCAUUCSCGUUUCGAUGUUGGSGAUGAGCGUHCRAGCRACKCSAGGCGCCGGCAMCUGUCRCGUCUUGCKCGCCUUUYGUUCGUGCGARCCGGCAMCAGAACRCGUGCACUUUUCUUCUGGUAGGACNUCSCRAUCCGUUGGGUGUCAGUCUACGGCGCGCGGUGGAGCCCGUCGGUCGUUUCGACGACUGGCGGACCCGUGCGUUCCGGCUGACUCGCUCGACGGUAUACGAAAGGUUAAGGGCCGCUCGCUACGGAGCGUUCGACUCUCGGCAAGCGCGCCAGACGUGUCGUCAAUCGGACCUCGUGCCGAUUUCGGCCUCUGGUGACUGUUGGCCGUGGAAGUUCUCGAACAGACUCUGGACCGAUCUGCGACGCUAUAGCUUUGGGUACUUUCAGGACCCGUCUUGAAACACGGACCAAGGAGUCUAGCAUGUGCGCGAGUCAUUGGGAAUCACUAAACCUAAAGGCGUAAUGAAAGUGAAGGUCUUCCUAGCGGAGACCGAGGGAAGACGGGCGGUUCGCCGUUAAAAGCGGCCGUUCAGCAUUCCCGGGGCGUCUCAUUCUCAUSGCSAGAAGAGGCGCACCAAGAGCGUACACGCUG